AUUGAACGCUGGCGGCAUGCCUUACACAUGCAAGUCGAACGGCAGCAUGGGUGCUUGCACCUGAUGGCGAGUGGCGAACGGGUGAGUAAUGCAUCGGAACGUACCCGGAAGUGGGGGAUAACGUAGCGAAAGUUACGCUAAUACCGCAUAUUCUGUGAGCAGGAAAGCGGGGGAUCACAAGACCUCGCGCUUCCGGAGCGGCCGAUGUCGGAUUAGCUAGUUGGCGGGGUAAAGGCCCACCAAGGCAACGAUCCGUAGCGGGUCUGAGAGGAUGAUCCGCCACACUGGGACUGAGACACGGCCCAGACUCCCACGGGAGGCAGCAGUAGGGAAUAUUGGGCAAUGGGCGGAAGCCUGACCCAGCCAUGCCGCGUGAAGGAAGACGGCCUUAUGGGUUGUAAACUUCUUUACUAUGCGACUAACUAGAUUUACGAGAUAAUUCUAUAGAAUGUAGCAUAGCAAAAAGCACCGGCUAACUCCGUG
rnacentral:rRNA from 1 species